rnacentral:rRNA from 1 species
UACAGAGGCCUCGAGCGUUAGGCGGAAUCACUGGGCUUAAAGCGUGUGUAGGCGGACUUCUAAGUACCUUGUGAAAUCCCACGGCUCACCCGUGGAACUGCUGGGUAUACUGGUCGUCUUGAGCCUUCUAGGGGGCUACCGGAACAAAUGGUGGAGCGGUGAAAUGCGUAGAUAUCAUUUGGAACGCCAAUGGUGAAAAACAGGUAGCUGGGGGAAGUGCUGACGCUGAGACACGAAAGCCAGGGGAGCGAACGGGG